AGUGGCGGACGGGUGAGUAACGCGUGGAUAACCUGCCUUUCACAGGGGGAUAACAGCUGGAAACGGUUGCUAAUACCGCAUGAGCCUCUUUUGUCGCAUGACGGGAGAGGGAAAGAGAAAUCGGUGAGAGAUGGAUCCGCGUCCGAUUAGCUAGUUGGAGGGGUAACAGCCCACCAAGGCGACGAUCGGUAGCCGACCUGAGAGGGUGGACGGCCACAUUGGGACUGAGACACGGCCCAAACUCCUACGGAAGGCAGCAG
rnacentral:rRNA from 1 species